rnacentral:rRNA from 1 species
GACGAACGCUGGCGGCGUGCUUAACACAUGCAAAUCGAACGGAAAGGCCCUGCUUUUGUGGGGUGCUCGAGUGGCGAACGGGUGAGUAGCACGUGAGUAACCUGCCCUUGACUUUGGGAUAACUUCAGGAAACUGGGGCUAAUACCGGAUAGGAGCUCCUGCUGCAUGGUGGGGGUUGGAAAGUUUCGGCGGUUGGGGAUGGACUCGCGGCUUAUCAGCUUGUUGGUGGGGUAGUGGCUUACCAAGGCUUUGACGGGUAGCCGGCCUGAGAGGGUGACCGGCCACAUUGGGACUGAGAUACGGCCCAGACUCCUACGGGAGGCAGCAGUGGGGAAUAUUGCACAAUGGGCGGAAGCCUGAUGCAGCAACGCCGCGUGCGGGAUGACGGCCUUCGGGUUGUAAACCGCUUUCGCCUGUGACGAAGCGUGAGUGACGGUAAUGGGUAAAGAAGCACCGGCUAACUACGUG